AUGGAAAUGGAAAUGGGGAUGGACUUUCUUUGGCCUCACCACCAUCAACACCCUCCUCCUCCUCUUCCUCCUUCCUCACAAGUACCAGAUGCCUUCUCCUACUACUUCUAUUACCCUCCGUUCGCCGCGGCCGCGGCCGCCACGACGGACAACCCAACGCCUCCGGCAGUUUCAAGGUCAAGGGCGUCAAGAUCGAGGGCGGUGGUGAGGAAAGACAGGCAUAGCAAGAUAUGCACGGCGGGGGGGAUGAGGGACCGGCGGAUGCGGCUGUCCCUGGUCGUGGCCCGCCGCUUCUUCGCCCUCCAGGACAAGCUGGGCUUCGACAAGGCCAGCAAGACGGUGCAGUGGCUCCUCGACAGGUCGACGGCCGGCAUCAACCACCUCGCCGCCUCCAUGUCCUUGUCGGAGGAGGACGGGUCGGUGCUCCUGGACCAGGACAACAACGACCACGCCAUGGCCAUGGCGGCCGAUGCUGAAACAAACAAGCAGCAGGAGCAGAUGCCGAAGGCUAGGAGAAGUCCAGCUCCUGCUGCUCCAAGGAAGAAGAGCAAAAAUGGCGGCGCCCCUGUUCUCCUCCCCGACAAAAAGGCGUCCAGGGCGAGGGCGAGGCAGCGGGCCAGAGAGAGAACCGAGAGGAACCGCCUCCGGUCGGAAGCUCCGGCUCCGGCUCCGGCGCCAGCGGGGCAGCCAGUGGUUCCGGCAGCAGCCUGCAGCAACAACUACUACGAGGAUGGGGAGCAAGAGCCAUGGGAACUGGGAGGAGUUGUCUUUGCCAAACCACGCAUCCAGUACUGA
rnacentral:rRNA from 1 species